CACGUAGGGUGCGAGCGUUGUCCGGAAUUAUUGGGCGUAAAGGGCUCGUAGGCGGUCUGUCGCGUCGAAAGUGAAAACCCAGGGCUUAACCCUGGGCCUGCUUCCGAUACGGGCAGACUAGAGGUAUGCAGGGGAGAACGGAAUUCCUGGUGUAGCGGUGAAAUGCGUAGAUAUCAGGAGGAACACCGGUGGCGAAGGCGGCUACCUGGACAGAAACUGACGCUGAGGCGCGAAAGCUAGGGGAGCAAACAGG
rnacentral:rRNA from 1 species